rnacentral:rRNA from 1 species
AUACAGGGUGACAGCCCCGUACACAAAAAUGCACAUGCUGUGAGCUCGAUGAGUAGGGCGGGACACGUGGUAUCCUGUCUGAAUAUGGGGGGACCAUCCUCCAAGGCUAAAUACUCCUGACUGACCGAUAGUGAACCAGUACCGUGAGGGAAAGGCGAAAAGAACCCCGGCGAGGGGAGUGAAAAAGAACCUGAAACCGUGUACGUACAAGCAGUGGGAGCACAGAGCAAUCUGUGUGACUGCGUACCUUUUGUAUAAUGGGUCAGCGACUUAUAUUCUGUAGCAAGGUUAACCGAAUAGGGGAGCCGAAGGGAAACCGAGUCUUAACUGGGCGUUAAGUUGCAGGGUAUAGACCCGAAACCCGGUGAUCUAGCCAUGGGCAGGUUGAAGGUUGGGUAACACUAACUGGAGGACCGAACCGACUAAUGUUGAAAAAUUAGCGGAUGACUUGUGGCUGGGGGUGAAAGGCCAAUCAAACCGGGAGAUAGCUGGUUCUCCCCGAAAGCUAUUUAGGUAGCGCCUCGUGAAUUCAUCUCCGGGGGUAGAGCACUGUUUCGGCAAGGGGGUCAUCCCGACUUACCAACCCGAUGCAAACUGCGAAUACCGGAGAAUGUUAUCACGGGAGACACACGGCGGGUGCUAACGUCCGUCGUGAAGAGGGAAACAACCCAGACCGCCAGCUAAGGUCCCAAAGUCAUGGUUAAGUGGGAAACGAUGUGGGAAGGCCCAGACAGCCAGGAUGUUGGCUUAGAAGCAGCCAUCAUUUAAAGAAAGCGUAAUAGCUCACUGGUCGAGUCGGCCUGCGCGGAAGAUGUAACGGGGCUAAACCAUG